UACGUAGGGCGCAAGCGUUGUCCGGAAUUAUUGGGCGUAAAGAGCUCGUAGGUGGCUUGUCACGUCGGGUGUGAAAGCUUGGGGCUUAACUCCAGGUCUGCAUUCGAUACGGGCUGGCUAGAGGUAGGUAGGGGAGAACGGAAUUCCUGGUGUAGCGGUGAAAUGCGCAGAUAUCAGGAGGAACACCGGUGGCGAAGGCGGUUCACUGGGGCUUUUCUGACGCUGAGGAACGAAAGCCAGGGGAGCGAACGGG
rnacentral:rRNA from 1 species